GGGUGAGUAACGCGUGGGUAACCUGCCUUAUACCGGGGGAUAACAGCCAGAAAUGGCUGCUAAUACCGCAUAAGCGCACGGAGGCGCAUGCCUCUGUGUGAAAAACUCCGGUGGUAUAAGAUGGACCCGCGUUGGAUUAGCUAGUUGGCAGGGCAGCGGCCUACCAAGGCGACGAUCCAUAGCCGGCCUGAGAGGGUGAACGGCCACAUUGGGACUGAGACACGGCCCAG
rnacentral:rRNA from 1 species